ACGAAGAAGACAAUUGUAGCGUCUCCAUGCAGCUCAGACUGCAGUUCAAUUGCGACAUGUAAGGGAGGUGUGUGAUAAAGGGGAUAAAGUCCUACUGGCAGGAGUUUUUAAGUUCAGACUGCACACAGAGAAGAAGUGCGUCAAAUCCAAGUCUUCUUUUGACACCAUGGCUCAAUACACUCGUGUUUUGGGGUCUGUCGGCUUGAUAACUCUCAAAAACCCUCCUGUUAAUGCACUCAGUGCGAAGGUGAGACAAGGCAUCGUUGACUCGGUGGAGAGAGCACUCGGUGAACCAGAAGUGAAGUGUGUGGUCAUCUGUGGCCAGAAUGGAAAAUUCUGUGGAGGAGCAGACAUCAGGGAGUUUGGGAAAACGAUGACUGGUCCUCCACUGAUACCGAUCUUCCAUGCUAUUGAGGCUGCAGCCAAGCCGGUGGUGGCAGCCAUAGAGGGGGUCGCUUUAGGUGGAGGUCUUGAGUUAGCACUUGGCUGUCAUUAUCGAAUCGCACACUCUAAAGCCAAGCUGGGGCUUCCAGAGGUUACUCUGGGUCUGCUGCCAUCUGAAACGGGAAGUCUGCGUCUGACACGGCUCAUUGGUGUCCCAGCUGCCUUAGACCUCAUCACCACAGGCCGUCACGUGACUGCUGCUGAAGCACUGCAACUUGGAAUCGUGGAUCAGGUUUUUGAUCACAAUACUGUGGAUGCAGCUGUGAAGUUUGCCUUGAGUGUUGCAGGACAGUCGCUGGAUGCACGUCGUAUUAGCACUUUUCCAUGCCCAAGCCUCCCUAAUCUGGAUGCCGUGUUUGACGCAGCGAUGCAGAAGGUGCGUCAAGCUGCCCGUGGAGCCAUAGCACCAGUUGCAUGCGUCCAAGCGGUGCGUGCAGCAGCCACCCUGCCCUACGCUCAGGGUAUGGAGCGGGAGAAAGAGCUGAUGGCCACCCUCUUCACCUCAGGCCAAGCCCGUGCUCUCCAGUACAGUUUCUUUGCUCAGAGGGCAGUCGGCAGGUGGAGCAUGCCCAGUGGAGCCCGGUGGGACACAAGCAAGCCCAAACCUAUACGUAAAGCAGCUGUCAUUGGUCUUGGUACCAUGGGAAGAGGCAUAACCGUGAGUCUCGCACAGGCAGGUUUGUCUGUGGUUGCCGUGGAGACCCAGGAGAAGCAGCUGAUGGAGGCAAAGCAAGCAGUAUCUGGUAUGUUGGAGCGAGGGGCCAAGAGACGGGGGGUGGCUCCUCCUCUGGAUAACAUCAGUUACAGCAAUAACAUCAAAACUGUUGGAGAUGUGGACCUGGUCAUCGAAGCUGUGUUUGAGGACAUGGCUCUGAAGAAGAAGGUCUUCCAGCAGCUGUCUGCCGUUUGUAAACCAGGUACGUUCCUGUGCACAAAUACGUCUGGACUGGACAUAGACGACCUGGCCUCUCAAAGCCCCAACCCAGAGCUGGUGGUUGGAAUGCAUUUUUUUGCUCCAGCCCAUGUUAUGAAGCUGCUGGAGGUGGUGUACGGCCCACGGUCAUCUCCUCAAGCUGUGGCCACUGCCAUGCAGCUGGGGAAAGUAAUGGGAAAAGUCAGUGUGGCAGUUGGAAACUGCCAAGGCUUUGUGGGGAACCGCAUGCUGUCGCCAUACGUGAGUCAAGCUAAUUUCCUGUUGGAAGAGGGAGCCACACCUGAGUUUGUAGAUCAAGUGCUGGAGGAGUUUGGAUUUGCAAUGGGUGUGUUCAGGAUGUCUGACCUCUCUGGGCUCGAUGUAGGCUGGAGAGUCAGGAAGGCAGCUGGGCUGGUGGUGCCAGGGCAGCCAGCUAGAAUGAGACAAGGGUGCAGGUACAGCCCCCUCGGAGACCUGCUGUGUGAGCAGGGACGGUUUGGUCAGAAAACAGGCAGCGGAUGGUAUCAGUAUGACAAACCCGGCAGUCGGGUAGCAAAGCCUGACCCUUGGCUGCACGGCUUUCUGGAGGAGUAUCGAGCCCGUCACGGCUUGGUGGCUCGCCGCAUAGAUCACCAGGAAGUGCUGGAGCGCUGUCUGUAUUCCCUAAUCAAUGAGGGCUUCCGUAUCCUGGAGGAGGGAAUAGCUGCAGGGCCUGAAGACAUCGAUGUCAUCUACGUGUUAGGCUACAGCUGGCCCAGGCACCGUGGAGGCCCCAUGUUCUACGCUGACAUGGUGGGUCUGACCAAGGUCCUGGAGAGGCUGGAGUUCUACCACCAGGCUCACCCUGAUGUGCCCAGCCUGCAGCCCUGCAACCUGCUCAGGAAGCUGGUGGCCAGUGGCAGCCCACCUAUGCACAGGUGGAGGGAAGUCAUCAGGAAAGUCCACAGCCAGCUUUAAACAACAUGUCAGCUUUAAUACUUUAAUACAAUUGUAUGAUUUUAUACUCUGAUAAACAUAAUGGACAGUGGAUUUAUAAUGCACUUUCUAAUCUAAUAAUGACGAUUGAUUGUUUUAAUGUAGUGUUGUCAUGGGUGAUUUUUUAGGAGGCUCUACUGUGUACCCUGAGGUACCAGUUUAUUAGGAAUGCCUGUGCAACCAAAUGUAGAAACAAACCAAAACAAUCAAAAUUCUCUCUGUGUGCACCUGUUUGUAUCAGAGAAGUUUAUCCACUUAACUUGAACAUAAAAAUCAGGAAAUAAGGAAAUUGCUUUGUCACAGUUGCUCAGUGCACAUUAAAAAGAGGACAUAUUAAUAAACCAGAGCCUAGAAUAUAAUUAUAAUAAUUACAAAAAUGACACAUUGAGUGAAGUGAAAUGCAGAAGUCCAGACGUGCUGCACACGGUGUAAUCACAGUAUGCACAAAGUGCACAAAUGGACUUGUGCAGAUAGAUUAACGUUUAUUUUCAGAGGAAAUUACCCAUCAUGUGCAAAUGAAUGGAAAGUGUAACAUGAGUUGGUAUUGAAUUAACAUUAAAGAGAUGUGAAUAAAGAGAGUAAUUUGACAAUAAUGGAAAUGUACUUUGGCAUUAAUGGCAGUUGGCUGUAGAAGUCAUAAAAAUCACACAGCUACAGCAGAAAGUGCAGGAACUAUAUUUCUGGCUAGAAAGAGCUCCUGUGGUGAACAGCAGGACGCUCAACGGUUAUGACUCUGUGCCUGAACAUACUCCUCGGCUCUGAUGGAGGAAAGUUUUAAUGACAUUCUCCUCUACACUUUACUGAUUGUAUUAUCAUUUCUAAUAUUUUGUGUGCAGGUGUGGACAAAUUACUAGAAAUACUUCUCUGCCAUUGUGUCAAAGGACUUGAACACCACAGAAUUGGGAUUACUGUACUGCAAUGAAUGAAGUUGUACAAAUGUAACAAAGGGGCAAUUCACUGUACAGUGAGAUUUAAGAAACACUAAAAUGCAAAGCUGUGAAUGCAUUCUCUUCCUCUGUAAUAAUAGAUUUGCUAUAAUGACCUCCCUGAAGACUGAGAGCAGUUAAGCCUUGGGUUUCUAUAAUUCACCACAUUUUAGUAAAUCAUGCAGAAAAUUGUAACAUUUACAUGCAAAUAAGGAAAUGUUUUCUGAUUUUACUACAUUACUGGUAAUCAGUUGUGUAUAAUACAUAUUAGUACCUUUACAGCAUGCACAAAAUGGUCUGAUUUCUUAAUAAAGACAUGUUGUUAUA